GCCAUUGCCGGAAACCGGUCGCCGGAACUUGAUUUCCGGCGAGCUUAACGACUAGGUGUGCUGGUGCUGCUGCAUAAUCUCGAGCAUACGGGGACUAGGCUUGGGUAUUUACAUGUAAAGCAUUUUGAAAUAAGUAUUAUUGGUUUUUCUAAGACUUAUAUAUGGUUUGUGGUUUGAAUGAAAGGGGUCAUUGAUGAUUCCCGAGUUGUAUUUAUAUUUUAA